rnacentral:misc_RNA from 1 species
GAUGAAGAACGCAGCGAAAUGCGAUAAGUAAUGUGAAUUGCAGAAUUCAGUGAAUCAUCGAAUCUUUGAACGCACCUUGCGCUCCUUGGUAUUCCGAGGAGCAUGCCUGUUUGAGUGUCAUGAAAACCCUCAACCUUAGAUUGGUUAAAACCUUUCUUUGGCUUGGAUUUGGACGUUUGCCGAUGAUAAGUCGGCUCGUCUUAAAAGUAAUAGCUGGAUCUGUCUCGCGACAUGGUUUGACUUGGCGUAAUAAGUAUUUCGCUAAGGACAUCUUCGGAUGGCGGCGUUGCAAGACUAAAGACCGCUUUCUAAUCCAUUGAUCUUCGGAUUAAUAUUCUUGACAUCUGGCCUCAAAUCAGGUAGGACUACCCGCUGAACUUAAGCAUAUCAAUAAGCGGAGGA